CUACGGGACGCUCCAGUGGGGAAUAUUGGGCAAUGGGCGCAAGCCUGACCCAGCAACGCCGCGUGAGGGAAGAAUGUCUUCGGAUUGUAAACCUCUGUCCUUGGGGACGAAAAAAAUGACGGUACCCAAGGAGGAAGCUCCGGCUAACUACGUGCCAGCAGCCGCGGUAAUACGUAGGGAGCGAGCGUUGUCCGGAAUUACUGGGCGUAAAGGGUGCGUAGGCGGCUAUGCAAGUCAGAUGUGAAAUACCCGGGCUUAACUCGGGGGGUGCAUUUGAAACUGCAUGGCUUGAGUGCAGGAGAGGAAAGCGGAAUUCCUAGUGUAGCGGUGAAAUGCGUAGAUAUUAGGAGGAACACCAGUGGCGAAGGCGGCUUUCUGGACUGCAACUGACGCUGAGGCACGAAAGCGUGGGGAGCAAACAGGAUUAGAUACCCCAGUAGUC
rnacentral:rRNA from 1 species